AAAGGAUGUUGGAGUAAACAUCUGCUACCCCGUUGAUCACCAGAGUCGAUUUGGCUGAUCUGACUGGCUACGUUGGUCUCCCCUUCCUCCCUCACCACUUUGUGCAUUCCCACCAAAGCUGCCCUCUCAGUCAAAGAAGACGACUUUUACUGAUAGUCGACUUGUAUGAGAGCACACAGAAUGUUGUAAGGGUGGUGUCAAGUUUUAAUAUUUAAUGUGUCAAGUUUAUUG
rnacentral:sRNA from 1 species